rnacentral:rRNA from 1 species
UGGCUGCAGUGGAGAAUGUUGGACAAUGAGGGGAACCUUGAUCCAGCUAUAUAGUAAGAGUGAAGAGAGAAAAAUCAUAAAGCUCUAAGGGAAAGGAAAAUAAUGAUACAACUUUUCUAAAAAUCCUGACUAAUUUCGUGCCAGCAGUCGCGGUAAUACGAAAAGGAUAAGCGUAAUACAUAAUAUCUAGGUGUAAAGGGUCAGUAGGCGGCGGAAGCUAGAGUGGAAAAGAAGAAAGAGGAAUUAAAAAUGGAGGGAUAAAAUCCAUAGAUAUUUUUAGGAACAACAAAGGCGAAGGCAACUUUCUCAUGAACACAGACGCUAAGAGACUAAAGUGUGGGUAGCGAACAGGAUUAGAUACACAUUUAGUCUACUGAC